ACACGGAGGGUGCAAGCGUUAUCCGGAUUUAUUGGGUUUAAAGGGUCCGUAGGCGGAUCUGUAAGUCAGUGGUGAAAUCUCAUAGCUUAACUAUGAAACUGCCAUUGGUACUGCAGGUCUUGAGUAAAGUAGAAGUGGCUGGAAUGAGUAGUGUAGCGGUGAAAUGCAUAGAUAUUACUUAGAACACCAAUCGCGAAGGCAGGUCACUAUGUUUUAACUGACGCUGAUGGACGAAAGCGUGGGGAGCGAACA
rnacentral:rRNA from 1 species